ensembl:lncRNA
AUCUCCAGAGUGUUUUCAAGGCUGCUGAGGGCUGCUCCAAAUUGUACUUUCUGCCUUCAUUCUCUGCGCAGAUUUCAUUGUUUUGCUAAUCCCUCAUGCCCAGCACAAAGAGGCUGGAGGACAAAGUGUCACAGUUCUUCCAUUUUUUUCUCAAGAAAAAAGGUUUAUUCUGCUUCUCUGUAGAAAGCUGGGAUUGGUCUUAGCUAUCCAGUUUUCCUUCUUUUUACUUGACAAGUAAAAUGUUAAUGGUUUCUUCACUGGCACUCCACAGCUACGAAAGACUUUUUAGUAUAUGAAGAUUACAUCUGCUGUUAAUAGCAAUACUAUGACUGAAAAAAAAAACUGUAAACAUCUGUAGUGGAAUCCUGUAUCCUCUUAAAUCUACAUGUGAUCCUAUUGCUUGAAAUGAAGAUAAUCUGGGAAAGUAGCAAGUGACUACUCCUCCGGGCUUUGGAGGCAAGCCAACACAAUUACUCUCACCCUGUUCUCUGAGGUGGCAGCUGCAGCAAGAUCAGGAUGCGGAAAACAACCAUGAAAUCAAAGGGUUACAGACUUUGGAGCCAACUCUUCAUUCAUCUGUCGAUCAAGCAGAGCUCCAAACUUGGAUGACAGACCCUUGCCACUCAAUCUCUGUGUUGAAUGCUUAUGAACCACCUAAAGCAACGAAAGCCCUCAUGAAGGUCUAAUGUUAGCCUCACUAUCCCUCCUGUCUUUUUUUGCUGAUGGUAGUAGUAGCAUGAAUAUUUACCAGAGCCAAGAGUAUGCUGUCUUGCAAAUUCUGUUCUCCUAAUAUGUCUGGUUGGACAGUGUUAUUGUAUAAAGUCUACUGACAUUCUGCCAAAUGCCAAUUUAGAUUUUUUUUAAAUGGUUUGUGUUCUGAAAUUUACACACAUGGAGGAAAAACAGUUAUCCAUUUAAAUGCCUCACUUCUCAGUUGGAAAAGAAUUGGCAGCUCUUUUGUUUCUGUGAUGAAUGUAGUUAAGGAGAAGAUAGUUACCUGUGAGAGACAAGUAGUGAGAAGAAAUGACACCCAGGUCCUUUGUCUGGGAUCUGCAUCUUUAUUUGAGAAGAAUAAUUUCAUUAUUUCCAGGCAGUGAUAUCUUCAGAGUAGCUACUGAAGCAUUUAGUAAGAGACAGGAUAAAUAAAUGUACAAAGGGAGAGAGGAGCACAGAAAGGUGAAGUAAUUUAUCCAAGUUAUGCUAAUCAUGUUGGGCAGGGAAAAGAUUCCAGACUUUCUGUGUCCUGAGUCUAUAUUCCAGUUGCUAAGCAACUGUCCUGAAUAUAAGGGUGUCCAAAACACUGUAUAUCAGAUACUAUAGCAUUGGCACACUGACACCUCUGUUUUGAUUCAUGCCAUAACUGAUGUCUAAUAAAGAAAAUAAAUC